rnacentral:lncRNA from 1 species
CUGUUUUUACUUUGCCGUUAUUAUCUAAUAUACCUCAUCCACAACCCAUGCAGCAAGAAACCCAGUCAAACCCUACUACAUUAACAAUAAUACCCAGACCGACCCCUCAGAAUACUACACCUCCAGAUAUUGAAAAUCCUCAUGAUUCUGCGGAGACAACUUGCAUGCCGCACUUUGAGGAAUUUCAAACCCAACUUACCCAUCCCGAGACAGAAGCCAGACCCAGUCACAUCACAUCCUUGAGCCAAGUGAUCCGCCUGCUGCUAGUUCACCUCCCUUAACAAUAACUCCAGCCAAUGAACCAAGAGAAAUUGUAACCCGGUCCAAAACUGGAAACCUGAAACCCAAACAAUUCCCUGGUUUCAUGACCUUUUACUCCACGCGUCAUCCACUCAAAGUGUUGUCCAGUGUACUGCAAGAAACUGAACCUCAUUGCUAUACACAAGCAGUGACAAACCCGAAAUGGCGAGCUGCAAUGGGACGCGAAUUCGAUGCUUUGAUGGCGAAUGGGACUUGGUCUCUAUGUCCAA